rnacentral:rRNA from 1 species
UACGUAGGGUGCGAGCGUUGUCCGGAAUUAUUGGGCGUAAAGAGCUCGUAGGCGGUCUGUCGCGUCGAAUGUGAAAACCCGGGGCUCAACUCCGGGCUUGCAUUCGAUACGGGCAGGCUAGAGUUCGGUAGGGGAGUCUGGAAUUCCUGGUGUAGCGGUGAAAUGCGCAGACAUCAGGAGGAACACCGGUGGCGAAGGCGGGACUCUGGGCCGAUACUGACGCUGAGGAGCGAAAGCGUGGGGAGCGAACAGG